rnacentral:rRNA from 1 species
GACGAACGCUGGCGGCGUGCCUAAUACGUGCAAGUAGGACGCUGAAGGAGGAGCUUGCUUCUCUGGAUGAGUUGCGAACGGGUGAGUAACGCGUAGGUAACCUGCCUGGUAGCGGGGAUAACUAUUGGAAACGAUAGCUAAUACCGCAUAAUAGUAGAUGUUGCAUGACAUUUGCUUAAAAGGUGCAAUUGCAUCACUACCAGAUGGACCUGCGUUGAAUUAGCUAGUUGGUGGGGUAACGGCUCACCAAGGCGACGAUACAUAGCCGACCUGAGAGGGUGAUCGGCCACACUGGGACUGAGACACGGCCCAAACUCCUACGGGAGGCAGCAGUAGGGAAUCUUCGGCAAUGGACGGAAGUCUGACCGAGCAACGCCGCGUGAGUGAAGAAGGUUUUCGGAUCGUAAAGCUCUGUUGUAAGAGAAGAACGAGUGUGAGAGUGGAAAGUUCACACUGUGACGGUAUCUUACCAGAAAGGGACGGCUAACUACGUG